rnacentral:rRNA from 1 species
ACUGGUGAGUAAUACGUAGGAAUCUACCCUAAAGCGGGGGAUAACCCGGGGAAACUCGGGCUAAUACCGCAUGGUCUCUAUGGAGUAAAGGUGGCUAGCAAUAGCUAUCACUUUAGGAUGAGCCUACGCCGGAUUAGCUAGUUGGUAGGGUAAUGGCCUACCAAGGCGACGAUCCGUAGCUGGUCUGAGAGGACGACCAGCCACACUGGGACUGAGAUACGGCCCAGACUCCUACGGGAGGCAGCAGUGGGGAAUAUUGGACAAUGGGCGAAAGCCUGAUCCAGCAAUGCCGCGUGUGUGAUGAAGGCCUGCGGGUUGUAAAGCACUUUCGUUGGGGAAGAAAUGCUCAAAGCUAAUACCUUUGAGAGUUGACGUUACCCAAAGAAGAAGCACCGGCUAACUCUGUGCCAGCAGCCGCGGUAAUACAGAGGGUGCAAGCGUUAAUCGGAGUUGCUGGGCGUAAAGGGCGCGUAGGUGGAUAUUUAAGUCGGAUGUGAAAUCCCCGGGCUUAACCUGGGAAUUGCAUUCGAUACUGGAUAUCUUGAGUAUGGUAGAGGAAAGCGGAAUUCCCGGU